GGAGGUUUAGCUCAGCGGCAUAAGCACCUGCCUUGCAAGCAGGUGGUCGUGAGUUCAAUCCCCA
rnacentral:tRNA from 1 species